UAAGGAAUAUUGGUCAAUGGACGAAAGUCUGAACCAGCCAUGCCGCGUGGAGGAUGAAGGUCCUCUGGAUUGUAAACUUCUUUUAUCUGGGACGAAAAAAGGUCUUUCUAGAUCGUCUGACGGUACCAGAUGAAUAAGCACCGGCUAACUCCGUGCCAGCAGCCGCGGUAAUACGGAGGGUGCAAGCGUUAUCCGGAUUCACUGGGUUUAAAGGGUGCGUAGGUGGGUUGGUAAGUCAGUGGUGAAAUCUUCGAGCUUAACUCGGAAACUGCCAUUGAUACUAUCAGUCUUGAAUAUUGUGGAGGUUAGCGGAAUAUGUCAUGUAGCGGUGAAAUGCUUAGAUAUGACAUAGAACACCAAUUGCGAAGGCAGCUGGCUACACAUAUAUUGACACUGAGGCACGAAAGCGUGGGGGAUCAAACAGGAUUAGAUACCCUGGUAGUCCACGCCCUAAACUAUGGAUACUCGACAUACGCGAUACACUGUGUGUGUCUGGCGAAAGCAUUAAGUAUCCCCACCUGGGGAAGUACGAUCGCAAGAUUGAAACUCAAAUGAAUGACGGGGUCAUAGCUGUUUGCCUG
rnacentral:rRNA from 1 species